rnacentral:rRNA from 1 species
UGUAGUCAUAUGCUUGUCUCAAAGAUUAAGCCAUGCAUGUCUAAGUACAUACUUUUGCACGGUGAAACCGCGAAUGGCUCAUUAAAUCAGUUAUGGUUCCUUAGAUCGUUUAUACUACAUGGAUAACUGUGGUAAUUCUAGAGCUAAUACAUGCAAAAAGCUCCGACCGUAUGGGAGGAGCGCUUUUAUUAGACCAAAACCAAUGGGGUCGCAAGACUCCUUUGUAUGGUGACUCUGGAUAACUUUGUGCUGAUCGCAUGGCCUAGAGCCGGCGACGUAUCUUUCAAAUGUCUGACCUAUCAACUUUCGAUGGUAAGCGAUUUGCCUACCAUGGUUGCAACGGGUAACGGGGAAUG